rnacentral:rRNA from 1 species
GUCUACGGCCAUGCCACCCUGAAUGUGCCCGAUCUAGUCUGAUCUCGGAAGCUAAGCAGGGUCGGGCCUGGUUAGUACUUGGAUGGGAGACCACCUUGGAAUACCAGGUGCUGUAGGUG